GAGUUUGAUCGUGGCUCAGAAUGAACGCUGGCGGCGUGCUUAACACAUGCAAGUCGAGCGAGGCCUGGGGGGCAACUCCCAGAGUCGAGCGGCGGACGGGUGAGUAACACGUGGGUAACCUGCCCGGAAGUGGGGAAUACCUCGGGGAAACUCGAGCUAAUACCGCAUGACAUCUUCGGGACGAAAGUCCUGACGAUCAAAGCGGGGUCGCAAGAUCUCGCGCUACCGGAUGGGCCCGCGCCCGAUUAGCUAGUUGGUGAGGUAAUGGCUCACCAAGGCUUCGAUCGGUAACCGGCCUGAGAGGGCGAUCGGUCACACCGGAACUGAGACACGGCCCGGACUCCUACGGGAGGCAGCAGUGGGGAAUCUUGCGCAAUGGGCGAAAGCCUGACGCAGCAACGCCGCGUGGAGGAUGAAGGCCCUUGGGUUGUAAACUCCUGUCGGCUGGGAAGAAAUCGUACGGUGCUCAUACCACCGUGCGUUGACUGUACCAGCAAAGGAAGCCCCGGCUAACUCUGUGCCAGCCGCC
rnacentral:rRNA from 1 species